UGGGGAAUUUUGGACAAUGGGCGAAAGCCUGAUCCAGCAAUGCCGCGUGUGUGAAGAAGGCCUUCGGGUUGUAAAGCACUUUUGUCCGGAAAGAAAUCCUUGGCUCUAAUACAGUCGGGGGAUGACGGUACCGGAAGAAUAAGCACCGGCUAACUACGUGCCAGCAGCCGCGGUAAUACGUAGGGUGCAAGCGUUAAUCGGAAUUACUGGGCGUAAAGCGUGCGCAGGCGGUUUGCUAAGACCGAUGUGAAAUCCCCGGGCUCAACCUGGGAACUGCAUUGGUGACUGGCAGGCUAGAGUAUGGCAGAGGGGGGUAGAAUUCCACGUGUAGCAGUGAAAUGCGUAGAGAUGUGGAGGAAUACCGAUGGCGAAGGCAGCCCCUGGGCCAAUACUGACGCUCAUGCACGAAAGCGUGGGGAGCAAACAGGAUUAGAUACCCUGGUAGUCCACGCCCUAAACGAUGUCAACUAGUUGUUGGGAUUCAUUCCUUAGUAACGUAGCUAACGCGUGAAGUUGACCGCCUGGGGAGUACGGUCGCAAGAUUAAAACUC
rnacentral:rRNA from 1 species